CCGGGGCCGCACGCGCGCCACAUUGAAGGAAUCAGCGUGUGCUUUCCCGGUCCGACAGGAUUGGGUAACCCGUUGAACCUCCUUCGUGCUGGGGAUAGAACCUUGUAAUUAGUUCUUGAACGAGGAAUUCCCAGUAAGCACGAGUCAUCAGCUCGUGUUGAUUACGUCCCUGCCCUUUGCACACACCGCCCGUCGCUACUACCGAUUGAAUGAUUAAGUGAGGUCUUCGGACUGGCUAUUUGAUUGGCCUUCGGGUCGAUUGAAUUUUGCCGGAAAGAUGACCAAACUUGAUCAUUUAGAGAUAGUAAAAGUCGUAACAAGGUUACC
rnacentral:rRNA from 1 species